rnacentral:rRNA from 1 species
UUGAAACACUGGUCCCUGUAUGAUCACAAGUUAAGCAACAUUGAGUCUGAUCAGUACCUAGAUGGGUGACUGCUUGGGAAUACCAGGUGCUGUAUU